ACUGUCUUUCUGUGACCCUUUCAUAGGGCACUGCAGGAUGGAUUAAAGGUGGCAAUUUACUGAUAACUGCAGAUGUCUCUACUUUGUUCUGAAGUCUAAGUCAUGAGGCGAUUUGAUUUACUUUAUAGAAGUUGGAUUUUGAAGAUAUAAUGAAAAAUUUUUUGAUACUUAGUAGUACAAAAAAAGCACCAGCAACUGAUAAAACUGCUUUUUUGUGCACUACCCAACUGGUUCCGAUAUGAUCUUUUAUGGUGAACUCAGAAAUAGGUGUUCUUAAUGGAAACCUGUCAGACCCUUAACUAACUAUAGCGGUGCUAAGGAGCACUACUAUAAUAAAGCCACCAUUAUUUUUUAUGAAACAUCUGAAUACAUUAAAAAAAAAAAAAAGGCUGUUGUGAGGGCAUUAUUUUGAGGUGAUGUUUAAAAAGUUAACAUCAAAUCAAAUUGUAAAUUAGUUUAAAUAUAUUGCCUUAAGGACCUACUAAAGAAUGUGCCACCAGACUUUAAGUGAUAGUUGCAAUAUCCUUGUCUGAAACAAAAAUCAAUGUUGACUUAAACAUUUUCUUUAACAGUUGUCUUUUUUUUUUUUAAUCCGAGCUUUUGCUUUUUUUCCAUUGAGGAAGUCUUUUACCUUCCCUACUCACUGAGAAGUAUUGACUUCGUGGUACACAUUCUAAAGCAUUUCUGAUUUGAAUAUUUUUGUACAUUUUUAUCAAUUAUUAAACCUUCUCUUCUAGCGUGUACUAGUAUUUAUUUCUACUUAAACUGCUCAGCUCUAAAAAAUUGUAUGAUCAUUUAAAGAUACUAAAUCCUUGGAAUUUUACUUCAUCUAACCCACAUAGCUAGGUUACUUUUCCUUUUAAUAUUUAAGAAUAUUACAAGUCAGUACAUUUCAGGCCCCUGUAAUUUGUUUUUGAUCUACAAAUUUCCUAUAGAAAACUUUAGAGAGGCAAUGUUUUGAAGCUAGAAUACUCUUUACAUGCUAACUUUUUGAAGGUUGGUAAUGUAAUUUAUACUAUUUUCCUUCAGUGCAGGAGAUUUUUUUAAUAAGUAAAUUUUAGCAUAUAGUCUUUAGCAUUAGGUAUUUUUUUAUUUUGGACACUUCGAGCAAUCCUAUUUCAAGUUGGGAUUUAGAAGAACAAAAAGUUCAUUUUAUUUGAGAAGUUCAGAUGACCAGGACUACUCUUUCCCAUCUCUGCCCACUGUUUCAAUUAAAUCUAGCAUCCACUUUAUCUUUAAACUUUUCUCUGCCAAAUCAUUUUUCUGCUGUGAAAAACUGACAUGACUGUGGAAAAUGAGAAUCACUAUCCUUAGAAGAUGUGAAAUAAUCAAGUUUCUUGCUUGAGGUUUAGUCUUUUAUUGUAUAUUAGAACCAAAAUAACAACUUUGGCAACAGGGAGUUUGUCUAGAUUUACUUUUCAGAGGUCUCAUAAUGAUAGUUAAUAUUGCUAAUCAUGUCAAACACUUGACAUGGAAGUCAGUGGCAAAAUCUUCAAAAUGCACAUAUGAUAUUGGCAGAAAUACUAGUGGUGUUUCAUAAGAGAAUUUAGAAUCUGUAAAAUUUUGUUUUAAUUCCAUGAAUGAUUUUUUUAAGUGCGACCUUAAAGUUUUAAUUUUUCUAUUUAAAUAAAAAGUUAUUGAUAUGUUUUAGUAUGUCCUCAAAAUAGAUUUCUGUAUUUCUUAGAGACACUGUCUUACCACCUCAAAUCCCUACAAUACAAAUUCAAGUUUCUCUGUAGUUCAUCCAUGAAAAUAUUUGACCUAAAAACAAAACUGAUAAAUGGCAACUUAAAAUACAACAUUGUUAUUAUAAAAGAUGUAAUUGAAGUGACUAUAAUCCUGUCUACCUUCAAUGAUCCCAUCAAAUGGGAUUUAGUUACCAAAAGGUACUGUACUGUGAAGGCACAGGUGAUGGGAAGAUUUUGUUAUAGCAAGAGCUCUAUGUGAAUAUUUUUAACCUCUUAGGUCAGGUUUCUAAAUCUUCAGUCUCGUAAAAGCUGAAAUGUCUUAGAAUACUGAUUCUGUUAGAGUUAAACAGAGUUGUUCAAAAAGGAGUCUGAACAAAUGUGUUCAAACAGGAAAGUAUGUUUAUUUUCAGAUAAGGGGAAUUUACAUUUCAGUUAAGCAUCAGACUCUUUGGUAAAUGUUGAGGGUUUUCUUCCCUCUGUAUCAUUAAGUUAUUGGAUCACAUUUACUAAUACAUUUAAUAUCAUAAAAGUCAAAAUCAGAAUCUCUAAUAUUUGAUGUUUUCGUUUUCUCCCAGUCCAGUAAUUCCUGUAUGGGAAAACUGAAUUUGUGUGAAAAGUUAGUCAAGUAUGAAUUCUUUGCACUUUCCCAAAUUUACUUAAAUUACUUAAUGCUUUUAAAUAAAAGCAACGGUCUUUAUUUAUUUAUUUAUUUAUUUAUUUAUUUAUUUAUUUAUUUAUUUAUUUUUCUUAACACAUCAAGGGUAUGUCAUUAUUACUCAAAGCAGCUUUGGCAUAUAUUCCUGUCUUUUAACAAUAAAAACUUCAUUUUUAUGCCUCCCAGUAAAUACGAAAAUGGUCAAAAUGUCACAGCUUGACUUUUGCUCAUUGGGCCUCCUUUUAUACAGCUAUAAGAUAAAAAUGGCCUAGAAAAAGGCCUUUAAUUCAUAGGGUAGAGUGAAGAAACUAUAAAAACUGAGACAUCUCUGUACGUUCUUUUAGAAAGUUCAUAAUUUUCUUUACCAAAGGGCUUGUAUUGUGUUAAGAAACAUUUGUCUAGAUGAUCCUGGCAGCCACUUUUCUCCUCUUUGCAUCCAGAAAGGGGUAGACCUAGAAAGUUUUUUUUUUUUUUUUUUAAAGCUUAGAUGCUAUUUGAGAGAGAACGGUUUCUAAUCAGUACCCAGGGAAGAGUUAUGAAUGCUAUAAAUUUAUAGAAUAUUUAAGAAUAUUAUGUAAUUUAAAUGUAAAUUACAAAACUAAGGAACCAAAUAAACAUUUCCAAAAGCAAAAUGAGGCAAAGCACAUUAAUUCCUUGUAUCUUAAAAAUCAGACUUUUCUUUUCCCUUGGGUACGUGUCUCUCUCAGUAUCAGAUACAAUUUUAAUUCUUUUACAUUCUCUAAGUAAAGCCACUCAUUUUACAUAAAGGAAAAGCAAAGUGUCAUGAGUAAUUUUUCAUGGAAUUGUGUUCUACAUAGGACUUAAAAUUUUAUGGUUUUUGGUAAUGGUAUAUACAAGUCUAAUAAUUCUUUUUUAUUAAAUCUUACCUUGCUCUUAAGUUUUUCAGUUGUUUUAACUUAAAUGGUGGUCAGGUUCCUUGGAAACAGGAAUUGGUUUCAUUUACUGCUAUAUUCUGUGGACUAGAACGGUGCCUGGCACAUUGUAGGCAUUUAUUGAGUGAAUGUAAAAUGCUGGUUGACAAGAUACACUCAUCCACAGUACACAGCAUGAUCGCAGUAGUGUACUAACCCACAACUAAAGCCGUUCUGGUGGCUGUGUCUUAACAGCUUUUGCUACAAAAAUUUCCAAAAGCUUGUUAGAACGUGUAACCAUGUGGUUUCUGAGUAGGAAAGGAAAUACCUUAUGAUUUGAAAUGUAGUUUUUCAUAUUCAUGAAUUAAGAUAUAGUAGUUUAAAAGUAGUAACUUCUCUUUGAAGAGCUAGCUUUUAGCUAGAUCAGAGAUAGUCUUUAAAGGCCAUGCUUGGAAAGAACAGCAAAAUUGCCAAAUUCUAAAUUGAGAACUAAUGAUUUCAGGCUAUUUCCAACAAAGGAUGAGGUAUGGGAAUUGAGAAGAUUCUGUUCCCAAGUACCUCACCAUGCCCCUCAGUCCUCCAUUUAGCCUGUCUCCCUGCCUCAGUUCCUUAAUUGUAGAUUUUCUGUGUUUUUAAAACUUGCUAUAUAAAAACAGCUUUUGUGACUCAAUAGGAUCUAUGCUUCAAAAGCCAUCUCAUUAUUGUUCAUGAUUGGUAAUUGCCCCAGGAGUAACGGCCUAGGUUGACGUGUGCAUUUCAGGGGAACUAGCCAACCCCCCCCCCGCCCAGCCCAGUUUUCAUUCAUAGACUAAAACAGUGGUUGCCUAAUGAGAUCAUGAUCCAACUAAGCCAUUUCUUGAGGCCCUUGUAUGCUGUUCCUCAGGGUCUCUAAAAUGUGCGAUUUAUAAAUAGUCCUUUAUUUUGGUUCUGCCUGAAACUUGUGGUGGGUUUGUUCUCUUGCCUGCCUCUCUACAACUAAACUGAAGAUUUGUUCUGAAAGGUGAGUAAUAAGGGGGUAGAAACAGGUUUCUAUUUUCUGUGUUUGUAAUUACCAGAUUUUCUCUUCUGUUUAUAUAUUGUUCUGAUGUAAAGAACCUAAUAGUUAUAUAAAAUUAGACCUUUUGUAAAUAAAUAUAAUUUAUUAGAAAAAAA
rnacentral:lncRNA from 1 species